rnacentral:rRNA from 1 species
UUGUCCUACGGGGGGCAGCAGUGAGGAAUGUUGGUCAAUGGGCGAGAGCCUGAACCAGCCAAGUCGCGUGAGGGAAGACGGCCCUACGGGUUGUAAACCUCUUUUGUCAGGGAGCAAGAACGGAUACGUGUAUCCGAGCGAGAGUACCUGAAGAAAAAGCAUCGGCUAACUCCGUGCCAGCAGCCGCGGUAAUACGGAGGAUGCGAGCGUUAUCCGGAUUUAUUGGGUUUAAAGGGUGCGUAGGCGGGCUGCCAAGUCAGCGGUAAAAAUGCGGGUCUAAACCCCGUCAAGCCGUUGGAACUGGG